UCCUGUUCCUGCUCCUGCUCCUGGCUGUCAUUGGAGGCUGCCACCGGUGUCACUGCCUGGCUGCCAGAAAGCCCCAGGAGAGGGUCCCCCCAGCCACUUUGGAGGAGAGGGAGGUUCUGGACAUCAAAGAUGUGAUCACCAAGAGGACAAGGAGGCCCCCCCACAUCUCCCUACUCCAGCACCCCCUGGUGACCUACCCCAGACUUCUGCGACCCCAUGAGCAACCACGGGACAACAGUGACAUCUAUGAGAAUGUGCCACGACACUGAGGAGAAGGGGGCACUGGGGGCACUGGAGGCACUGGGGGCACUGGAGGCACUGGGGUUUCCUCCUCCACAGCUCCUGUGCUUUCCCAUCCUGUUUGGGAGCAGGUCACAACUUGGGGGUGUUUCACAGGCACUAAGCACUCCCCAUUCCCCACCCCAAGUACCACGAGGGGUUCCCCUGUCCCACUCCCAGUACCCCAGGUGCUCCCCACUCCCCAUCCCAAUGCUCCCAGUAUUCCCAGGGGCUCCUUACUCCUCUUCCCACUACCUCUCUAUUGUUCCCAGAGAAUCCAGGGACUUCCCAUUCCCCCUCUCAGGACCUCUAUGAUCCCACGGGCUCCCCAUUCAUCCUUCCAGUACCCUGUCUUGGUUUAGAGACAAAAUUAGAAGAAAAUGCUCUGGAAUGAGUGUUUCCUCUAAAGAGAAGGGCUUCAGUAAUCCCUUUUGCCAAUGAGAAAAAUGAAUGCCAGUGAGCGAAAGUGAAAAAGCCCAUCCCAUCCCACACACGCCAUUUUUUUAUUUACAAACAAAGUACCCACUUGGCACAGGAAAAAAUUGAAUAAAUGCUAGAUAUUGAACUUUCACAACUUUACACAUGCCCUCAGGAGCACAUUGGGGUUUUCCCCAAAAUGCCAUGGCAAGAAAUUAAUGGGCUGGCUGUAUGGUAAAGGGGGGACAGAAUGGGGGCUGGCUUUUGUCUCAGGGAAGGGAGAAACAAGAGUUUGUGCAGCAGCUCGGGCAAAACAAGUGGGAACCUGUUGAACUUCUGGCAUUGGUCUCCUCCUCACAGCAGAUGAAGCUGGUGGAUUUUGGUGUCCUUUCUCUUGAUGGUUCAUCUUUUCCUGAGCUCUUGGGCUGGUUGGAGCAGCCCCUGCAGGCUCCCGGCUGAUGGUCUAGGCAAUUGUUUGAUCUCAGACCAAAACUAAGCCAAACAGAUCAAGAAAAACAUAAAACAGAAGCCACCAAAGGAUUGAUACUGCAGCCUCUGCAGGCCAGGGGAAGCUAAAAAAAAAAAAAAAAGGCUUUUUGCUAGCAAAAAUCCAAGCUAGCUAAGCCACAAAAUAAUGUCUGAUCCACACUGCACUGCACCCAGCACUUUCCCACUUUCCAGAGGGAGGCUUUGAACAAAGCCAUUGCAGGAGCUCCCAGGCUCCCACCCCUCUCCCAGACACACUUUAAACCUCCAGCAGCCAUUGCUGGGCAUAAAGCAGGUGAUCAGGAAUAGGGCAUCAUCAUAAAAUCACCCCAAGACAUAUCCCCAUGCUCCCAGUGGCUUCCCAUUGCUCCUCCCAAUGCCAGGGAGGCACAGGACCCCUGGUAUUGGGCCAAAAUGCAACUUUUUUGUUAAACUGGCAGAAAUGGGGUUUCUUUGUUCAGCUCUGGGAUUUUCCAAUUCUGAGCUGCCACUAAACACCAGGGGCCACUGCCCCUCCCCCUCCCAGUGGAGGCACAGAAGGUGAAGAUCUCAAAGGGCUGAGAGAAGAACAAUUUCCUGCAAAUAGCAAUGAGAGAACAAAACCAACAACAACAAGAUUCAGAAUCUCAAGGGUCAGAAAAGAAACAAUUUCCAGGGAAUGCCCCCAACAAGAGCCCCACAUGGCCAGAGCGUGAGUCCAGUGGAGAGUGGCCACUGACAGGGACCAUAGGGGCCAGAACCAAGUGCCAGCGCCACUGAGAGAGACUGUACAGGGCAUGCCGGAACUCCAGGACAAGCUGGAGUGCAAGUCAAGCAAGUGGAAAUUGCCAAACCUUUGUCCCCAUUCCUGUGGCAACAGAGGGCAGGAUACAGUUUGCCUUGACCUGGAGGGGUGUCCAGAGCUCCUGGAACCAACUGGAAACUGAGCCCCACCCUGUGCCAUGGCCUGAUCCCAACUGCCCUGAAAAGGGGAGGCUCUGGAAAACCCACAGGGCCUUUGUGACAACAUCAUGUGGGAAACACGGCAGAGGAGGUGUUUGAGACAGGGGAGAAGAGAAUCCAGAACCUCCAGAAGGCCACUUUGGCCAUCAGAGCAAGGAAGGUCCAGGGUCCUGACAGGUUCUUCCUGGUGGAGGAAAUGUGCCAAGGGCAGCUUCUGGGGUUUGUUCCUUGUUGGGGGCUUUCCCUGGAAAUUCUUCCUUUUGUGACCCUUUGAAUUACGAAUCUUGAGAAUUGAGAAGGAUUGGUUCAACAACCUGACGGGGACCCUCCUCCUUCCUGAGCCAAACAGGGCAGAGCUGAACAAACAAAAAUAAUUUCUCCCAGUUUAAUCAAAAAGCUACAUUUUGGGUCCAGUAAGAAGGACAAGGGUGCUGUGCCCCUGGCACUGGGGGAGGGAAUGGGGAGCCCCUGGGGGUACUGGGAUUACUGGGAGCACUGGAAUGGGGAGCCCUUGGCAGCUCCACAUGGGAGCCUCCACUCGUUGCCACCCCUUGGCUAUGGUGGGCACCCAUGGGAGUGAGGAAUGCCCUCAGGCAGGGACCCCAGUGUACCCCCAGUGUCACAGCAUGUUCUCGCAGAUGUCACUGGGGUCCUGCUGUCUCCUGUGGGGUCCUGGCAGCUCUGCAUAGGUCAUUUGGGGAAUGUGGUGCAGGGAGGCCCUGUGAGAGACACCAGUUGUGGGGAUCUGGGUGGCAGGGUGACAGUCAUGGGUGAUGUGCCCCUCUGUCCCCCUUGUACUCACCACCUGCCUUCUUGGUGCUCAUGACAUCGCUGUACAGCAGCUCUCCUGCCUCUGGUGGGGGCGAGGGCUCUGGGGGUGGCCUUGCAGGGAUAUGGGGGUGUCUGUGGGUGUGAGAGGGUCUUUGUGGUGGGGGUAAAAUGGGGGUCCAGACCUGAAGUCCCACACUCACCUUUCUUACUGCUUCCCAAGGGCUGCAAAGGAAAAGCAUGAGGGGUGACUGUGGGGUCCUCAGGGCCUCUGAACACCAUCAGGACCCCUGACUGUCCCUGGGACCCUCGAGCAUCCCUGAAACCCCCAAAAUACAUUGAACCAUCCUUUGAAUCCACUGAGACCCCAGAGUUUCCAGACUCCCCAAAAAAACCCUGACAGCACCUCCAACUUCCCUGCAUGACCCCUCAGGACCUCCCCAAAUCCCCCAGGACCUCCAGCUGAGGUCUCUGGGGGCUCAGCUUCACCCAGGUCAGGAGCUGUUUGUGCCACCCUCUGGCCCCUGUACUCUGGGGAGGCUUCACCCCAAUCCCUGGGACCCCCAUCCCCCUUCAUUG